AAAAAGGGCCUUUGUCGUGAGUGGCACUUGGUUCCCUCUGGGAGUCGAGCGGAAUGACAAUCAAGACAUUUCGGAGGCAUAAUUUCUGUACACCGGUGGCAGUUGGUGUUCUUCUGACCUGACGCCCCA